rnacentral:rRNA from 1 species
UACGGGGGGGGCAAGCGUUGUUCGGAAUACUGGGCGUAAAGGGCUUGUAGGUGGCCAACUAAGUCAGACGUGAAAUCCCUCGGCUUAACCGGGGAACUGCGUCUGAUACUGGAUGGCUUGAGUGUGGGAGAGGGAUGCGGAAUUCCAGGUGUAGCGGUGAAAUGCGUAGAUAUCUGGAGGAACACCCGUGGCGAAGGCGGAUCUCUGGGCCGUAACUGACGCUGACGGAGCGAAAGCAUGGGGAGCGGACAGG